rnacentral:rRNA from 1 species
UACGAAGGGGGCUAGCGUUGCUCGGAAUCACUGGGCGUAAAGCGCACGUAGGCGGAUUGCUAAGUCAGGGUGAAAUCCUGGAGCUCAACUCCAGAACUGCCUUUGAUACUGGCGACCUUGAGUCCGGGAGAGGUGAGUGGAACUGCGAGUGUAGAGGUGAAAUUCGUAGAUAUUCGCAAGAACACCAGUGGCGAAGGCGGCUCACUGGCCCGGUACUGACGCUGAGGUGCGAAAGCGUGGGAGCAAACAGG